UUGAAAGGCUGUUUCUUGGUC
rnacentral:miRNA from 3 species